GAUGAACGCUAGCGGCAGGCCUAACACAUGCAAGUCGAGGGAGAAGCCCUUUCGGGGGCAGAAACCGGCGCACGGGUGCGUAACGCGUAUGCAACCUACCUUUCACAGGGGGAUAGCCCGAAGAAAUUUGGAUUAAUACCCCAUAAUAUUAUUGGAUGGCAUCAUUUGAUAAUUAAAACUGCGGUGGUGAAAGAUGGGCAUGCGUCCUAUUAGCUAGUUGGAGUGGUAACGGCACCCCAAGGCUACGAUAGGUAGGGGUCCUGAGAGGGAGAUCCCCCACACUGGUACUGAGACAGGGACCAGACUCCUACGGGAGGCAGCAGUGAGGAAUAUUGGUCAAUGGUCGGAAGACUGAACCAGCCAUGCCGCGUGCAGGAAGAAUGCCUUAUGGGUUGUAAACUGCUCUUAUAUGGGAAGAAUAAGGCGUACGUGUACGUUGAUGACGGUACCAUAUGAAUAAGCAUCGGCUAACUCCGUG
rnacentral:rRNA from 1 species